CCUACGGGGGCUGCAGUGGGGAAUAUUGGACAAUGGGCGAAAGCCUGAUCCAGCCAUGCCGCGUGUGUGAAGAAGGCCUUCGGGUUGUAAAGCACUUUCGGUGGGGAAGAAAGCCUUGGGGCUAAUACCCUCGAGGAAGGACAUCACCCACAGAAGAAGCACCGGCUAACUCCGUGCCAGCAGCCGCGGUAAUACGGAGGGUGCGAGCGUUAAUCGGAAUUACUGGGCGUAAAGCGCGCGUAGGCGGUCUGAUAAGCCGGUUGUGAAAGCCCCGGGCUCAACCUGGGAACGGCAUCCGGAACUGUCAGGCUAGAGUGCAGGAGAGGAAGGUAGAAUUCCCGGUGUAGCGGUGAAAUGCGUAGAGAUCGGGAGGAAUACCAGUGGCGAAGGCGGCCUUCUGGACUGACACUGACGCUGAGGUGCGAAAGCGUGGGUAGCAAACAGGAUUAGAUACCCUUGUAGUC
rnacentral:rRNA from 1 species